rnacentral:misc_RNA from 1 species
GAAAUGCGAUAACUAGUGUGAAUUGCAGAAUUCCGUGAAUCAUCGAGUCUUUGAACGCACAUUGCGCCCCCUGGUAUUCCGGGGGGCAUGCCUGUCCGAGCGUCAUUGCUGCCCAUCAAGCACGGCUUGUGUGUUGGGUCGUCGUCCCCUCUCCGGUGGGACGGGCCCCAAAGGCAGCGGCGGCACCGCGUCCGAUCCUCGAGCGUAUGGGGCUUUGUCACCCGCUCUGUAGGCCCGGCCGGCGCUUGCCGAACGCAAAUCAAUCUUUUUCCAGGUUGACCUCGGAUCAGGUAGGGAUACCCGCUGAACUUAAGC